rnacentral:rRNA from 1 species
GACGUAGGUGGCGAACGUUUAUCCGGAAUUAUUGGGCGUAAAGGGUGCGUAGGUGGCCUGACAAGUUAUCAGUGGCAAAUCGAGGCUCAACCUCGUGGAAACUGGUAAUACUGUCCGGCUUGAGUGCAGGAGAGGUUAACGGAACUCUAUGUGGAGGGGUAAAAUCCAUAGAUAUAUAGAUGAACAUCAAUAAAGGCGAAGGCAGUUAACUAUUCUGUUACUGACACUGAGGCACGAAAGCGUGGGGAGCAAAACGG